AACAAAACUAAGCAGAUCCGAAUAUAAAUGUGACAGUAUAAUGUUCCUUUUAUUGAUUUAACAUUACAAUUAUUCCAGCGUGGUAUACAAGAAGUCAUUUGUUAUCUGUGAGAUAAUGUAAACAGCAACAUUUAAUUUGUGAUGUUGGAGACUUUUAGUGGGUUGCAAUACAUCUGUUUCUUGCUGUUGUCUCUGGAGAUGGUGAAGCGUCCCUGAACAGACUGAGAGUAGUAUGUACCACCACUAUUAGAGAUGUAUGCCAGCCACUCCAGACCUCCUCCUGCAGCCUGUCUGAUCCAGGCCAAGUGCGGGUCACUACUAAAUCCAGAGAAUGUACAGGUGCUUGACGGAUCCAAUACAUGUUAGUGCCACUAACUGAAAACCCACUGCAGGCACAGGGAAUUUACUUACAAGACACAGCAGUCAGCAACAGCAAGAGAAAUGAAGUGAACAUGGUUUAUAUGAAGGCUGAACUGGUGAUGAGUCCUCCACUCAACAGUGUUUAAAUAUGAAACAGACAUCAAUUAAUUUGCAUAAAAACGUUACAUUAGCAAAACCAGUGGAGUCCCUGGUGCUUGAGUCCAUUGAGUUUCAUUUCAUGGACAAUAGUUCCACCUAUUGAUAUGGAAUAACAUUGUACUUUGGUAAAUAAAUGUGAUUUUUUUCUCACUGCAGGCAUGUGUGUGCAACCAGUUUCUUCAAACGGAUGUGAUAUUGUGUUUUGUUCAUGAGAAAGUGGGUAAGGGUCUUUGAUAAAGUUGUAGAGCUUUAACAGGUUGUAGUAGAACAGCAAACACAGAUCAGCACUUUUCCAAUUUCAGGUUGUUGUUGUCACAAAGCCAUGCUGAGGGUAAAUAAAUAUAUGUAUGUAAAAAAAUGACUUUGCUUUGAAUCUAUGAUCUUUAUGAUGUACC